rnacentral:rRNA from 1 species
AUACGGAGGGUCCAAGCGUUAUCCGGAUUCAUUGGGUUUAAAGGGUCCUCAGGCGGGAAAAUAAGUCAGUGGUGAAAGCCUACAGCUCAACUGUAGAACUGCCAUUGAUACUGUUUUUCUUGAGUAUAGAUGAAGUGGGCGGAAUAUAUCAUGUAGCGGUGAAAUGCAUAGAUAUGAUAUAGAACACCGAUUGCGAAGGCAGCUCACUAAACUAUUACUGACGCUCAGGGACGAAAGCGUGGGGAGCGAACAGGAUUAGAAACCCUAGUAGUCC